UCACCCAGAGCCUCCGCAUUCUCCCUCAGGAGCAAGAAGAUGGCUGCCAACUGCUCCUGUUGUACCCUGGUGGAACAGCAUGAUGGACGAAUGGCGGACGGACGAUGGACGAAUGACGGACGGAUGAUGGACGAAUGGCAGACAGAUGGACACGUUUGGUUAACCACUCACGUCGCACUUGACAAGCUGCCACCGCCAGAUGCGCGCGCGCGCCCUGACUCACGUCUUCCACACACGGUGACCCUUUCGGAACUCCAUCCCCCUCCACGACGGCACAGUGAAGCCCACCUACGUGAAUUCUUUGACGAUGAAGCGACGACAAAGACGCAACUUGCAAGGUAAGCCCAUGUUACCAAACACCUUCAGCGCGAUCGGGUCAACCAAGAAGACCCCCGUUCAUACAUCCCCGACCUGCCCCACUAAGUGUACCGCUUCGGGAGGAAUUUUCAUUCCAAACUUGGAACUUGUUUCACAGUUCCAAUAAAAGCACAUUAAGUGACGUCACAAGCAAACGCUAGAUCGAGUGGUUGCAACGCUCCGUGAUAGGUUUAUUUGAAUAAGUCUCAUCUUGUCAAGGCGAUUAACAUCGAGCGCAUCAAAACAGGACAAGAAACGAUUAGGAGACGGCAGAUUCGUAUUCGUCCGUUGCGCUUUUACGCGUCUGACUUGCGGUGAUUUAUUGCACGUUACAAAGACAAAUCAGUGUGAUCAAGUUUAAUGGGGGAUGGAUUGCCAACCUGAAGCUGAGCCGCUAAGCAUCCGGACGUAGGCCCGUCGUCUGAGGCGGCUUUGCGCCGGCGGCGAAGAAGCACAGCGGCGGCCACCAGCAAGGCGAGCGCAGUGAACACGACGACGCUCGGUUCCACUUCCAGCUCCAUGACAGACGUGAAGUUAACAGACCAGCGCGGCAGUGCGCGCACACUCGCGCCGGCGACAAGCGCGCUCUUUUGUAAUCCCAUGUCAAGCGUCUGUCCGAAAACACCUCCUGGCACGCGCACGUCCGGUCAUGUUUCAAAAUAAAGCCGCUUCCGAAAUUUGAUUCUCCGAGUUUGGCAACGCUCGAAUGAUGCGCGGACGCACAUCUUUCCCCUGAAGAGUCCGUUGAAAGCCGGAAAUUGUUGAAUAUGACAACUACUUUGUUUUGAAUUAUGAAGAGAAGUAGUUAAUUUGAUAAUCCAAAUGUGAGAGUGGUACAUGUAGGUGGCUAGCGUUUGACAAGUUUAAUAAAUUCACUCCCACCCCAAAAUAAAGAAAAAGGAAAGAAACAAAGAACUGACCGAUAACCAGGGACUGCCAAUCACGUACAAGUAUAAGGGGGCUCAACGUAGUAUAAUCCAGGUGAGUGUGCCCC